rnacentral:rRNA from 1 species
UACGUAGGCAGCAAACGUUGUUCGGAAUUACUGGGCGUAAAGCGCGUGUAGGCGGCACGGCAUGUCGGAUGUGAAAUCCCAUGGCUCAACCAUGGAGGUGCACCCGAAACUGCCGAGCUAGAGUCUCGGAGAGGAAGGCGGAAUGCUUGGUGUAGAGGUGAAAUUCGUAGAUAUCAAGCGGAACACCGGUGGCGAAGGCGGCCUUCUGGACGAUGACUGACGCUGAGACGCGAAAGCGUGGGGAGCAAACAGG